UGGCAGGAAGCAGGAAGCAGGAAGCAGGAGGCAGGAGGCAGGAGGCAGGAAGCAAGAAGCGGCCUUUCUUCCAUACUUAAGGGGAGAACCAGGUAGGACUCAUGGAGAUGAGGCUCUCAUGGGACUGUGGUCCCCAGAACGGGCCCCCAAGCCUCACCACGCCACCUCUGCCGUCAGCCCCAGGCGUCCAGGUGUCCGCCUGCAAGCUGAGGACCUGCCCACGCCCCGAACCUUGGCUCAGCGUCCCUCUCCCAGGUGAUUGGGCACAGCUCUUCCAAACACGCAGCCAAGACGCAGGUGGGACCCCACGGAGCCUACAAAUGAACUUUGGAAGAAGCUUCGGGAUUGUAAUAUUUCGGCACGGCCUGUCCCGUGACGCCCGCUGUCUCUCUGGUCUCCCAGGAAGACUCCACAGAGCUCUGCACAAUGAUCUCAAAGUUUUCUCAUAACUGCAUUCGUGGGAAUCCCACGGGGUGUUUGUGUUGUUGCCACUGUGAGCGGGGACCCCUGAUCUCAUUAUGUUUUCCGACCAGCUGUUGUGGGUACAGAUGAGAAUGACUGACUUGUGUGUGUCUGUUCAAUAACCAGCCUGCUACUUUCGCCAAGUUCUCCAGUGAACACUUCAGUGGCUUCUUGGUUUCCUCAGGCCUCCGAUCAGGCUGCCGGCAAAUGAUUACAAUUCUUUCCCAGAGACAGCGCAUUUAAUUCUGUUUCAUGUCUUAUUGCUAUGUCCAGGAUUUCUGGACAAUGAUAAAGAGCUCUGUUGCUGGUGUUUGUUUUUUUUUUUAAAUAAAAGUUUUUGAAC
rnacentral:lncRNA from 1 species